rnacentral:rRNA from 1 species
AACGAACGCUGGCGGCAUGCCUAACACAUGCAAGUCGAACGAGACCUUCGGGUCUAUUGGCGCACGGGUGCGUAACGCGUGGGAACCUGCCCUUAGGUUCGGAAUAACUCCCCGAAAGGGGUGCUAAUACCGGAUAAUGUCUUCGGACCAAAGAUUUAUCGCCUUUGGAUGGGCCCGCGUUGGAUUAGCUAGUUGGUAGGGUAAAAGCCUACCAAGGCGACGAUCCAUAGCUGGUCUGAGAGGAUGAUCAGCCACACUGGGACUGAGACACGGCCCAGACUCCUACGGGAGGGAGGAGUGGGGAAUAUUGGACAAUGGGCGAAAGCCUGAUCCAGCAAUGACGCGUGAGUGAUGAAGGCCUUAGGGUUGUAAAGCUCUUUUACCCGGGAUGAUAAUGACGGUACCGGGAGAAUAAGCCCCGGCUAACUCCGUG